CAUGGCGCCAACUUCGCGUCUUUACUAUUCCUUUCAGGUAUCCUCACACGGCCGAAUUCCACUGUUCCACGUAUCGCAUACGGUAAUGUACAUAUACGCACUCACGCUUAUCGUGACAAAGUGUUGCGCCUCGCGAUACCGUUCACCAAAAUGGCUAACUCUGAGAGGAGACCAAAGUCUUAACUUCAAGAGGGGAGCAAAUGUUCUAACUUGAAGAGGGGGUCGCGAAGUUUUUCAACGCUGAUCGAAUAAAUGGCGGAAUAAGCAUCUGAAGCGUAUGCUAUUUCAUACUGAUCUGUUAAUCGCGAGUCAAACUACAGGUCGUUUCGCCACGAUAACUCCAACGAGUCUCAAUAGACUCGAAGUCUGUCCCAUGCAGAUAACUUUACAAGUUUAUCGCGCGUCUUUGCAGGGGAGCAAUUAAUGCUACAAUUUAACUAUCUUCGAACGCAGCAUCUUCGCGAUAUGGAAACUUGAAUUUUUUUUUUGGACAACUAUGCAUACAUAUUACUUGACAUCGUUAAAGUCCGAAGUUGCAGAUAAUCACGUUAUUCAUAUGUCUCGGAUUGAAUUAUUAUUGUGUCUUCUGAGGGGCGGAGUGGGGGAAGAUUCUACUAUUAUGAAAUUUACCGCUUCCGGGGUGGGGGCUCAAUUUACACGACUGUUGAUAUUUGUCCAUAAUCACAAAAUCCACGAGAACGCUUAUCAGCGUGUUUAUUAAUUUUUCUAAGCACAGGGUGCAUCAUUGCUUCUAUAAUGUUUUGAAAAUUUCAAUUUUUCCAUUUGUCGUCGGUCAGGGUACGUGCCGAUGUAGUUCGUUCUGUUGGUGUCAACCGAUUGAAAAAAAAAAUGACUGUGGAAAAUAACGAUGGCGUCGCUCAAAGAUCCGAGUCAGAUGGUCAGGGUUGCCGCAUGAUAUUUUGAUAACUAACAAUGAAACGUCACUUUCGAGGACUUUUAGUUUCUUUAUAGAAGUCAUAGUCAACUAACCAAGCAAAUUCAACUGGAUCGAAGCAGUUCGUUUAUCUAAUCUGUACGGUAUUCACCUGGGCUUGACGUAAAGCAUUGCUCGAGAUACAAUAGGAUACUGGAUAGUACAAGUGAAAAAAUGUCAACCACGUGAGGCUUAAAAAAAUUCAAGCUAUCUUAAUCACGUGCUACUCGAGCACGCAUAUCUGACAGACGAUCGAGACUACUCGCUACUGGUUACUACUGGCGAAAACACUCGUCAGGACUAUAGGCACCGCUGUCAACGUUUCAAAUGACAUCAGUGUCACUGGACCAAGUACAUUUAAUCUGCAAGGGUCGACCCACCCGUUGCCAAAUCGGAUGCUGCCAGUGCGCACAAGGAACCAUCAAAAUCCGCUGCCAGGUGUUCUGCGAAAUCUUCGACUUGUGGUGACCAUCCUUGACCGGAACCAUUGCUGCCGACUGAUCCUGAAUAAAGGAUAUUCAUUAAUUAGCAGUAAUCUUUGACUUUUGCCUAUUUUCGUAUAUUAAUUCUUAACAUUGCCAAGCAAUGAUCUUGAUUUAAAUUUUUAGUAAGGUUUAGCAUGAAACGUCCUUGGCACUUCGCAAUAUUAAAAACACCAGCUAGUUCAACGUUUAUGCAUACGUCGUAAGGUCUGCCACCGUUAUAUUAAAGUAUAUCUUAAAUAAUUCUUAAUCAAGUAUUUAUCCUGUCAAGAAACAAAAGAAAAAUUCAAUUCUAAAUGACUUAUUAGUCCAGAGGCACUAUGAAAUAUUGAUAUCCUAUUACACAAACUAUCAAGUAUUUUAAGUAAGCUCCGAUAAAAAGUUCCAUUAAUAUAGGCUUAACUAGUAAGUUUACAAAGUACUGUAUUAUUAUUGGUUUCAUAUUAUUAACGAUUAAAAACAAGAA